rfam:Oryza sativa (indica cultivar-group) chromosome 3, whole genome shotgun sequence.
AAUAAUUGCAGCCAUAAGUUUUCGCGUCCAACUUUAAUCGUCCGUCUUAUUUAAAUUUUUUUUAUAAUUAGCAUUUUUGUUGUUAUAAGAUGAUAAAACAUAAAUAAUACUUUAGUCAUGACUUAUGUUUUUAAUUUUUUUCUAAAUUUUUUCAAAUAAGAUGAACGGUCAAAGUUAGACACGGAAAACCAUGGCUACACUUAUU